AUGCUUACUUUGGCAGCACACAUACUAAAAUUGGAAGGACACAGAGAUUAGCAUGGCCCCUGCGCAAGGAUGACAUGAAAAUUCGUGAAGCAUUCCGUAUGAAA